UACGUAGGGGGCAGGCGUUGUCCGGAUUUAUUGGGCGUAAAGAGCGUGUAGGCGGCUAAGCAGGUCCGCUGUGAAAACUCGAGGCUCAACCUCGAGACGUCGGUGGAAACCGUUUGGCUAGAGUCCGGAAAAGGAGAGUGGAAUUCCCGGUGUAGCGGUGAAAUGCGCAGAUAUCGGGAAGAACACCCGUGGCGAAAGCGGCUCUCUGGGACGGUACUGACGCUGAGACGCGAAAGCGUGGGGAG
rnacentral:rRNA from 1 species